rnacentral:misc_RNA from 1 species
GAUGAAGAACGCAGCGAAAUGCGAUAAGUAGUGUGAAUUGCAGAAUUCAGUGAAUCAUCGAAUCUUUGAACGCACAUUGCGCCCGCCAGUAUUCUGGCGGGCAUGCCUGUUCGAGCGUCAUUACAACCCUCAGGCCCCCGGGCCUGGCGUUGGGGAUCGGCGGAGCCCCCCGUGGGCACACGCCGUCCCCCAACUGCAGUGGCGGUCCCGCCGCAGCUUCCAUCGCGUAGUAGCUAACACCUCGCGACUGGAGAGCGGCGCGGCCACGCCGUAAAACACCCAACUCUUCUGAAGUUGACCUCGAAUCAGGUAGGAAUACCCGCUGAACUUAAGCAUAUCAAUAAGCGGAGGA